UCUCCCUCCUUCACGCAACCCUUUCUCUCACUUUCUCACUUUACUUCUUCAUAAUUUUCUCUGUGAUCUCCUUCACCAUCUCUGUGCUCACUGCACAGAAAACCUCAGCAUCCAUCUCCAUCUAACUAGCCACUCCGGCGAACCUUGCCACCACCCAAACACUACAUGCCACCCUCGCUCUCUCACAAUCUUUUUGUCUCUCCCUCUCGGCUUCUUCCUUGACACAGAGAAGCACAUAAGCAAUGACGGCGGCGGAGCUGGCGAUCUCCGGCGAGGCAACCACCAGCGUCACCUUCCUCUCCUCUCUGCAGACUCCCCUUUACCUUUUGCUUUCUGAAAAUCGAAACCGACGCGAUGAAAUGACAAGGUCCGUCGCGGCUUGACUCCUUGGCGAGAUUUUCCGUCGAAUUCAGUAUGGUUUCAACUUAGGGGACAAAUUCCCCUGAUUUCCAGCGAGGGCUAUGAUUUUAGGCUAUCACCGGCCACUCAAUGGCCUUGAAGUAGGUCGCACUGUCGCUGUGCGUGGAGCUGUUGUGGAUGGCGCGUGGAGCACAGGCGCCUCCACCGGAAGGAUGAUUGCCUGAAAGGAUGAAUAUACGUUUUCAAAUGUUUGUUUUAGAUUGUAGGGUAUUUCGAAUUUGUUAUUUUUUAAAAAAAAAAAUUAAUUGAUAAGGCACAAUUACAAAAAUUGUGCUAACAUGAAUCUGAAAUGGCAUCUGACACAGGUGUCAGAACAGGACACAAAAAAAACCUUAUUUGUGCUCAAUGUUUGAGCACACAUGGCUGUAUCGUGCCCUCUAAUCAAUGGUGACGCCCAUAGAGGGCACAGACCCAAAGAUAGUAGCUGCAUUGUUGCUAUUGGUCUAUGGGCACAAUUGUUGGUGCUUUUUGAUCUCAAAGGGCACAUAUAAUUUAUUAUGCGCAGUGCUCAUUUUUUUUGUAGUGUAAACUCAAUAUUGAAGAAUUUAUUGGUAAGUUCAUCGCUUCUCAA